AUUAUGAAUGGAGACUAAAACUCUUCAACUGUUUCUAUUUCUUUUCGUUUCUGCAACCAAUGCUGUGGACUUAUAUAGACCACGAACGGGUGCUUCAUGAAGUGACUAUUCAUGAACGGGUGUUUCAUGAAGUGGCCCUUCAAUUGUGACUUUUUAUUUGAUCAUAACUACCAAUUAGUUUUAUGAGUCAAGUGCAAUGAAUGUAAGAAUUAAUUCCAGCGGACAUAUACUCGAAGAGACACAUUAUAAAGAUGUGUCUUUUCAUGUCAUAUCAUUUCACUAAAAGUCACAUCCUUUCACAUUCACUCUAAGAGUCACAUCCUUUGAUUAGGGUUGCAUCCACUCACUAAAGGUUGCAUCCAUUCACUAUGGAUCGCAUCCAUUCACUAAAAAUUAAAGAACAAAAUAUAUUAUUUUAAAAAUUUCCUUACAGUUCCCCACCAAUUUUUAAAAUACAUCAAAAUACAAAAUAAAACAAAAUCAAAAAUCAAAAAUCAAAAAUCAAAAAAUUCUAAACAACUUGACAAAAUCGUAUGCAUAGGUGUAGGUGUAUUAAAACUUGAACCUACACUUAGGGUGCGUUUGGUUCCACGUAAAAUUGUGGAAAAAAAAAUUUCGGUGGACAAAAAAUUUUCGGUGGAAAAAAUGUUUUACGUCGUUUAUGUUUGGUUUGUAGGAAAAGAAAAGUAAUUUUUCAUGACUGUUGUUCGGUUGAAAGGAAAAAAUUUAUAAAAAGAUAUUUAAUAUAUAUUUUUUUAUUAUUAUAUAUAUUAUUAAUAUAUAUAUAUAUAUUAUUAUAAUAAUUUUUAUUUAUAGAUUAAAUAUAUUUAAAAUUACAAUAAACAUAUUAUAUAGUAUAUAAGAGUUAUAUAUUUAGAUAUUAAUAAAUAUAUUAUAUAUUUUCGGUUGUUUGGUUGAAAGAACAAAAAAAAGGAAAAAAACAAAUAGAAAAUAAUUAUAUAUUCUUUUUAUUAUUAUAUACAUUGUAUAUUAUUAAUAUACAAUAAUUAUUAUACUAUAUAUAUUAUUAUUAUAGGUUUUUUAUAAAUAAAUAAAUAUAAAAUAUAUUAUACAAUAAGUAUAUAAUAUAUACAUGAUAGUAUAUUAUAUUUAGGGUUAUUUGCAUACCCCUGCAAACAUAGUGAAUUGCGGAAAUAUCCCUGCAAAACGGAAACUCCAUAAGUUGUCCCUGCAAAAGUCCUAAUUUAUGCAGAUAUGUCCCUUUGAUUAACAUCUGUUAGAGAACUGUUUAUUUUUUAACAGUUUUCAUGUGAAAUGACCAUUUUGCCCUCACAAAUAUAUCCCUCCAAAAGCAUCUUCCCCUUCUCUUUCUCUUCCUCUUCCUCUUCGGGCCGCCGGAGCGGAUGGCGGCGACGACGCGGGUUGAGCUCGCUGGCGACAAAGAAGAGGGAAGAGAAAGAAUAAGAGGAAGAAAAAAAAGGAAGAGGAAGAAGGAGAGGAAUAGGGAGAGGAAGAGGGAAGAGAAAGAUGAAGAGGGAAAGGGUUCGCCGCCGCGCGCCGCCGCCGCAUCUCCUCCCUUGCCGGCGACGAAGAAGAGGGAAGAGGAAGAGGAAGAGGAAAAGAAUGAGGGAGAGGAAGAAGAAAAGGGAGAUGGAGAGGGUUCGCCGCCGUCGUCGCAUCUUUUCCCUCGCCGGCGAUGAAGAAAAGGGAAGAGGAAGAGGCGAUGAAGAAAAGCGAAGAGGAAAAGGGAGAGGAAGAAGAAGGGAGAAAAUGGAAGAGGGAGAGGAAGGAGGAAAAGAAAGAGAGAGGGUUCGCCGUCGCCGCCGUCGUCGCUGCUGCCGCCGCCCUCGCCGGCGACGAAGAAGAGGGAAGAAGAAGAGGAGGAAGAAGAAGAAGGGUAGGAUCGUAAAUUUACGUUAUAAUUAACCAUGGUUAAGUACUUUAACCGUGGUUAACGAAAAUUUUCUAACAGUCCUUAACGGCAGGGACAUAUCUGCAUAACUUUAGACUUUUGUAGGGAUAACUUAUGGAGUUUCCGUUUUGCAGGGAUAUUUCUGCAAUUCACUAUGUUUGUAGGGACGUGUAUGCAAAUAACCCUUAUAUUUAGUACUAUAAAGCAAAUCACUAUAUAUUUAUAAAUCAUAUUUAUAAGGGGCAAUUGCUUAUUUAUAAAUAUAAUAUUAUAUAGUAAUAUAUUUAUAUAAAAAUAAAAUAAUAUAUAUAUAUAUAAUAUUAUAUAUAUUAUAUAGUAAUAUAUUUAUAUAAAAAUAAAAUUAUAUAUAUAUAUGUAUAUAUAGAGCUAGGCUCCUAUGCUUUCGAAAGUACGAAGGCCUCCGUGCUUGUAAGUUGUUUUCGAUGAUGGGACGUUCGAUUCGGCGAUCGGUUCCGUUAUACAUGAUCUACGCUAUUAGAACUAUNCACUAUUCCACCUACUACCACCUACCACCAUCAUCUCAACCUUACAUCUCUCCAUUCAAUAGCUAAAAAUUCAAAAGCACUAUCCUCUUUGUGCUUUUGAGAGUAUUCUAGCUCAACUCUAUAUAUAUAUAGAACUAGGCUCCUAUGCUUUCGAAAGUACGGAGGCCUCCGUGCUUGUAAGUUGUUUUCGAUGAUGGGACGUUCGAUUCGGCGAUCGGUUCCGUUAUACAUGAUCUACGCUAUUAGAACUAUCUAGAAACCAAAUUUCAUAAUUUUUUGACUUAGUUUGCCUAGUGAACGAGUAGCCUCAAAAUGAACGGCUGAAAAUAAAAAUCUCAUAAAAACAGUGAUAAAUGACUCAAAUUGCAAAUCGGAAGUAUUGUUCUUGCUAUUGAUGUUAAGUAGAAUUUUCUAUUAAAUUUUCAUGUAAUUUGGAUACUUCUAUACCGUUGAACUUAAAAAUGUGCCGCAUCGGCCUUUAAAAUAGUCAUUUUUGGGACCUUUUGAUCGCUUAGUAAAUGAUAUCAAAAAAUUAUAAAAUUUGAUUUCUAGAUAGUUCUAAUAAGGUAAAUUAUACCUAAGGGAGCCGAUCGUCGAAUUGGAUGUCCUAUCAUCGAAAAUAAUUUACAAGCACGGAGGCUCCGGUACUUUCCUAAGUAUAGUAGACAUACUCUCUCUCUCUCUCUCUCUCUCUCUCUCUCUCUCUAUAUAUAUAUAUAUAUAUAUAUAUAUUAAUUUGUAAAAUAUUAUAAAAUUUAUUUAUUUAUAAAUAUAUCAGUGCUCUCUUGAGCGGCCUCCACACACGCCGAAAGAGAAAGGACAACGAAUAAAAAGAGGGUCAAAUAAUUAAUGCUAUUGCUUUACACCAUGCAUGUUGCAAUUUAAAAAAGGAAAAGAGAUUAGCAGUACUUUUGUCGCAUCAAAACGCAUCCACCUUCUACAUAUUAUAUUUUGUUGGCUUGGUUAAACUGUGUUAUCAUAUAAUUUGUUUACAUUUUAAUUAAAUUAUCAAAUAGAAUAUUACGUACUAUGAUUCGAAAAAAUCGAGAACCAAAAUACCACGUAUCUCAUAAUUCAAAUAAAAAAUUAUAAUUAAUUAAAAUUUGAGAAUUAGAACGUCACACAUCUUAUAAUUUGAGUUCGAAAUUGCGAUGAAAUAAAGUUGGAAUCUUCACCUUUUAUUAAGAUAAGGAUUGGGAAGGGUAAUAUGAUUUUCAGCGGGCCCAACACGGUGGAAAAACCGGGGAAAAGCACCAAUAAGAUCAAACCCAAAACAAGAACUAUAACAACUCUACUCACACCCUCUAGCAGAUGUAAAUAGGGGACAAGAGCAAAAAAACAAAAAUAACAGGGGAAAGAUCAAGAAGGACGGCUCAGUGACAAAUCAGGGAACAUCAAGCCAAGUCUUUCGUCUUCAGCUUUUAUUAAGAUAAGGAUUCGAAUGGCUAAUAUGAUUUUCAGCGGGCCCAACACGGUGGAAAAACAACGGACUUUGUGAGUGGNNNNNNNNNNNNNNNNNNAAACACCAUAGCCGGACUCUCUCUCUCUCUCUCUCUCUCUCUCUCUAUAUAUAUAUAUAUAUAUAUAUAUAUUACACAUUAUACAUACAUAAUGAAUGAGAGAGUCCACGGGAGGGUCAGGUCCCUCGUGGACUCUACCUCACGCGGUCCACGAGGUGAAGUUCACCUCGUGGACCGUGUGUUAAUAGUUCAUGCGCCGCGAUUUUUCACCGCCCAAGCUUUUCGUUUUCCACUCGAUGCGAGCGGAAAACGAAAAGGCUUCGUUUUCUGAGAAUAUGUAAAAACGGUUUUCCUAAAAAAUUUUUUACGAGCAACCAAACUAUAGGAAAAUAGUUUUUCAACCGAAAAUUUUUUUUCGGAGCUGUUUUACAAGGAUCCAAACACCACCUUAGUGAAAACACAUCAAAGUUAGUCAUAAUUGAAUGGUAGACAAGCUUUGAACCAAUAAUUAUUUUUGACUAACCGGACAUAUCUCACACAUAGAAAUUUAUAAUCAAUCGAGUGCUCUAUUUUAUUGCUGACACUUUUAU
rnacentral:lncRNA from 1 species